rnacentral:rRNA from 1 species
AGACCCGAAACCCGGUGAUCUAGCCAUGGGCAGGUUGAAGGUUGGGUAACACUAACUGGAGGACCGAACCGACUAAUGUUGAAAAAUUAGCGGAUGACCUGUGGCUGGGGGUGAAAGGCCAAUCAAACCGGGAGAUAGCUGGUUCUCCCCGAAAGCUAUUUAGGUAGCGCCUCGUGAAUUCAUCUCCGGGGGUAGAGCACUGUUUCGGCUAGGGGGCCAUCCCGGCUUACCAACCCGAUGCAAACUGCGAAUACCGGAGAAUGCUAUCACGGGAGACACACGGCGGGUGCUAACGUCCGUCGUGAAGAGGGAAACAACCCAGACCGCCAGCUAAGGUCCCAAAGUCAUGGUUAAGUGGGAAACGAUGUGGGAAGGCCCAGACAGCCAGGAUGUUGGCUUAGAAGCAGCCAUCAUUUAAAGAAAGCGUAAUAGCUCACUGGUCGAGUCGGCCUGCGCGGAAGAUGUAACGGGGCUAAACCAUGCACCGAAGCUGCGGCAGCGAACGUAUCACCCAAGACAACUUUACGGAGUUGACGAUUGACGGAGCGAAGCGACGUCAAAGCGUUCAUUAAAGUCGAGUUGGCUUAGGGAUACGUUCGUUGGGUAGGGGAGCGUUCUGUAAGCCGUUGAAGGUGGCCUGUGAGGG